CAAAGUUACACCCUUUGGCUUGCCCCUUCUGCCACACAACAAUAAUCGUUAUCUGCCUUGAUGCGUUUCCUUUCUUUAACGCUGCGAGCCCGGUACUUUCCAGUAACGAACGGCACGCCCGUUAUCAGCAUAGAACAGUUUACACCCUUUGGAUUGCCCCUUCUGAUAACGCGCGUGCCGUUCGUUACUGGAAAGUUCCGGGCUCGCAGCGUUAAAGAAAGGAAACGCAUCAAGGCAGAUAACGAUUAUCGUUGUGUGGCAGAAGGGGCAAGCCAAAGGGUGUAACUUUGCCUAAGAAUGUAUGGCCUCAUAGAGUUUCUUAUUUAUUUAGAAACUCUAUGACCUGCCUCACUAUAACACCUAGAGCAAAAUCUGGCGCUACCGUCUGUGGAAGUUUUUCAGCGCUGUGCCGUCAUGGGAAUGACCAUGGAGGAACCAAACAUAUAGGAGGGAACAUUACGUGACGCAGCCAGGCUUUGCAAGUGAACGCUCCGUGAAGCCACAGUGGUGGCCCAACACGUGACCUCUGGCGUCGAGAUCACUGAGCAUGAAUACAUCCAGAUUUGCUGAGAUGGCGUAUAGGUGUUCUGUGGUUUGGCUCCCAGUAGCAUAUAGCCCCCUAUAUAUCGCGUGCGUCUAUUUGUCGUACAAAAAUCCCUCACGUGACCUGAUCCUAGGUGCCUAGGGACAGCAUCGUUUAAGGAUAUUUGAGAAGGCGCGAUGCUGGCGCCGAGCGACGCCGUGGCGUGUUCGUCCUCGGCGUGAUCGUUCUCUGGACCGCGCGUUGUUCAACAUUGCUCAUGUAAUCGUGCGUGCGUUGCAUGUGUGUUGGUUGUAGGUUCUGCGUUACUUGGCGGAAAGCUGCGAGUAGUGGCGGUGCGGCAGUGCGGCUUUGGCCUCGCAAUAGCUGCUAUGGGCUAACUCCCCUGGUUGUUCUGAUGUCUACUGGUGAGUCACUGGAAUUCCCGAAUUUCUUGCUAGAAUAUUGCAAAUAAAGUUCUCAUUGUGCUGCAAGGAUUCAAACAUACGAUCAAAAGAGUGGCAGUCCACAAUUCUACAUUUCAGCCACUCUGAAGGUACAGUCGGGGUGAAUACUGAUCCCGGAGAGCGUGAUCUAGCCAACAGGUGCCUAGAUUGGUUAACACCUGCUCAAUGUCUGCGUACUGUAUAUAGAGCUGGCAUCCACACCUUCAAGUUCUUACACAUCACCUUCCCACUUGUGAAGGCAGUCCUAUGUUAAGUUUUCUUCUUGCAUGUGAUGACCAUGAUUGGGUGCAUCUGCUUCAUUAAUCUUCUUCUAGUGCUUGGCUUGGCUUCUCAGAUUUACUGGAUGGAGCUGUUGGUGUCUUGUUUUCCUCAAGCAAAGCGCGAGACCUAGCAAUGGGUAGCCCAAAUAUAGAUUUGAGAAAACCAAAACGAAUUCAGCAGUAAGAAGCUAAAGGGUUGUUUUGGUGUAGAUCAGUGGCUAAGUCCGGAUAUGAAAGAGGAGGAAGAAAAGCCGAGUCUUUCCACUUCAACACUGAGGCACAACUCCCACAAAUAAACAUGACUCUUACUUAUUUUACUUUUUUAAGGAGAUUACAGACUUGCAUUGGCAAGUGUUCACUUCAACAAACACUGCAUGAAGUAAGCUUCCUGUGCAUAUUUCACCAGCUACUACAUCAUGGUUUCACAUUAUGAGUGAAAUUGCAAUUUUCUUUAUGCCACAACUUGCCCAAUCUUGUGUUUUGCAGUAGGAUGUUAGCAGUGCUAUUAAGGCACUUAAAUACUCAUGAAUAGUAGUAGAGAAAAAAAAGUAAGAAAGCAGUGGCUUUUUGUGCAUAGACUAUGCAUACACCUGGUGCUCUUACGGUCAUUUUUUCCCUAUCCGCUAAACCAUUCUAAACAAGAAAAGUUUAUACACAAUUAGUUUAUACACAGACCACAACUAAACCACAGGUAUCGUUGGUAAGCAAAGUAUAUUUAUUCGGUGACAUUUUCUGCAGCCCUGCUAUUGGGCUUUCCUUCCUUCCUUUUCAGCUGUGCAGGUUCAUUAAGAAGUGAUGAUACAGUUUGACAAUUUUAAUCGUUGAAAGACUUGGCGAAACCUUUUUCGGGUUGUUUUUUCUUGGUUUCAGACUCUGCACAUUGCAUUUUAAGGAGUGUUUUCUGUGUUUGUUGCUUUUUCUUUAUGGGUAGGGCAUGUCAACAUUUUUUACACCAUUUCAAGUAUGUGGUGCCAUAGACUGUUCUUAGAUGGAGUCUUGCCCUUUCAUUCUGUACAAUAUGAUAUAGGUUUUUGUGUCCAAGGCCGUUUUACUUCGUGAUUGUAGCAUUUUGCUAAGUUUUGCCUCUGUCAGCCAAGUUUGAAAGAUUGCUACCCACUGCUGGUGGCAUGACACAUGUCACGUUUCUUUUUCAAUAAAAGGAAGUCUGUCACUUAUCCUGUG